rnacentral:rRNA from 1 species
ACGCACGAAGUUGAAGAGCUUGCUCUUUGACCAAGUGAGUGGCGGACGGGUGAGUAACACGUGGGUAACCUGCCCAUUAGAGGGGGAUAACAUUCGGAAACGGAUGCUAAUACCGCAUAGUUUCAGGGAUCGCAUGAUUCUUGAAGGAAAGGUGGCUUCGGCUACCACUAAUGGAUGGACCCGCGGCGUAUUAGCUAGUUGGUGAGGUAAUGGCUCACCAAGGCAAUGAUACGUAGCCGACCUGAGAGGGUGAUCGGCCACACUGGGACUGAGACACGGCCCAGACUCCUACGGGAGGCAGCAGUAGGGAAUCUUCCGCAAUGGACGAAAGUCUGACGGAGCAACGCCGCGUGAGUGAAGAAGGUUUUCGGAUCGUAAAACUCUGUUGUUAAAGAAGAACAAGGAUGAGAGUAACUGCUCAUCCCCUGACGGUAUUUAACCAGAAAGCCACGGCUAACUACGUGCCAGCAGCCGCGGUAAU